UGGGAGAUUAUGCAGACGAGUAUAUCUCGAACUCGGUCAGAGCAGAAAUGCAGCAGCCGUAGAGGCUAAUACUUGGGUUGUUUUAAUCUCCCACUG
rnacentral:SRP_RNA from 1 species